rnacentral:rRNA from 1 species
GGGUAAUUCCAGAUGACGUCGAGAGACCAAAGGUCUGCCGCCGGGGGAGAAGCCCACGUGAUAUUAGCUAGUUGGUGAGGUAAUGGCUCACCAAGGCGAAGAUGUCUAGCGGGUGUGAGAGCACGACCCGCGCCACUGGCACUGAGACACUGGCCAGACACCUACGGGUGGCUGCAGUCGAGGAUCUUCGGCAAUGGGGGCAACCCUGACCGAGCGACGCCGCGUGUGCGAUGAAGGCCUUCGGGUUGUAAAGCACUGUCGAGGGGGAGAAAAGCGAAAGCUUGAUCUAUCCCUGGAGGAAGGACGGGCUAAGUUCGUGCCAGCAGCCGCGGUAAGACGAACCGUCCGAACGUUGUUCGGAAUCACUGGGCUUAAAGGGCGCGUAGGCGGGUUGCCAAGUCUGUGGUGAAAUCCUCCAGCUUAACUGGAGAACUGCCGUGGAUACUGGCGACCUCGAGGAAGAUAGGGGACUCUGGAACUGUGCGUGGAG